rnacentral:rRNA from 1 species
AAAUUGAAGAGUUUGAUCAUGGCUCAGAUUGAACGCUGGCGGCAGGCCUAACACAUGCAAGUCGAGCGGUAGCACAGAGAGCUUGCUCUCGGGUGACGAGCGGCGGACGGGUGAGUAAUGUCUGGGAAACUGCCUGAUGGAGGGGGAUAACUACUGGAAACGGUAGCUAAUACCGCAUAAUGUCGCAAGACCAAAGUGGGGGACCUUCGGGCCUCAUGCCAUCAGAUGUGCCCAGAUGGGAUUAGCUAGUAGGUGGGGUAACGGCUCACCUAGGCGACGAUCCCUAGCUGGUCUGAGAGGAUGACCAGCCACACUGGAACUGAGACACGGUCCAGACUCCUACGGGAGGCAGCAGUGGGGAAUAUUGCACAAUGGGCGCAAGCCUGAUGCAGCCAUGCCGCGUGUGUGAAGAAGGCCUUCGGGUUGUAAAGCACUUUCAGCGGGGAGGAAGGCGUUAAGGUUAAUAACCUUGGCGAUUGACGUUACCCGCAGAAGAAGCACCGGCUAACUCCGUGCCAGCAGCCGCGGUAAUACGGAGGGUGCAAGCGUUAAUCGGAAUUACUGGGCGUAAAGCGCACGCAGGCGGUCUGUCAAGUCGGAUGUGAAAUCCCCGGGCUCAACCUGGGAACUGCAUUCGAAACUGGCAGGCUAGAGUCUUGUAGAGGGGGGUAGAAUUCCAGGUGUAGCGGUGAAAUGCGUAGAGAUCUGGAGGAAUACCGGUGGCGAAGGCGGCCCCCUGGACAAAGACUGACGCUCAGGUGCGAAAGCGUGGGGAGCAAACAGGAUUAGAUACCCUGGUAGUCCACGCCGUAAACGAUGUCGAUUUGGAGGUUGUGCCCUUGAGGCGUGGCUUCCGGAGCUAACGCAUUAAAUCGACCGCCUGGGGAGUACGGCCGCAAGGUUAAAACUCAAAUGAAUUGACGGGGGCCCGCACAAGCGGUGGAGCAUGUGGUUUAAUUCGAUGCAACGCGAAGAACCUUACCUGGUCUUGACAUCCACAGAACUUAGCAGAGAUGCUUUGGUGCCUUCGGGAACUGUGAGACAGGUGCUGCAUGGCUGUCGUCAGCUCGUGUUGUGAAAUGUUGGGUUAAGUCCCGCAACGAGCGCAACCCUUAUCCUUUGUUGCCAGCGGUUCGGCCGGGAACUCAAAGGAGACUGCCAGUGAUAAACUGGAGGAAGGUGGGGAUGACGUCAAGUCAUCAUGGCCCUUACGACCAGGGCUACACACGUGCUACAAUGGCAUAUACAAAGAGAAGCGACCUCGCGAGAGCAAGCGGACCUCAUAAAGUAUGUCGUAGUCCGGAUUGGAGUCUGCAACUCGACUCCAUGAAGUCGGAAUCGCUAGUAAUCGUAGAUCAGAAUGCUACGGUGAAUACGUUCCCGGGCCUUGUACACACCGCCCGUCACACCAUGGGAGUGGGUUGCAAAAGAAGUAGGUAGCUUAACCUUCGGGAGGGCGCUUACCACUUUGUGAUUCAUGACUGGGGUGAAGUCGUAACAAGGUAACCGUAGGGGAACCUGCGGUUGGAUCACCUCCUUA